CGAAAGCCUGACGGAGCAAUACCGCGUGAGGGAGGAAGGCCCUUGGGUUGUAAACCUCUUUUCUCAGGGAAGAAUAAUGACGGUACCUGAGGAAUCAGCAUCGGCUAACUCCGUGCCAGCAGCCGCGGUAAUACGGAGGAUGCAAGCGUUAUCCGGAAUGAUUGGGCGUAAGGCGUCCGCAGGUGGCUCUUCAAGUCUGCUGUCAAAGGUCGGGGCUCAACUUCGAACAGGCAGUGGAAACUGAACAGCUAGAGUGCGGUAGGGGUAGAGGGAAUUCCCGGUGUAGCGGUGAAAUGCGUAGAGAUCGGGAAGAACACCAGUGGCGAAAGCGCUCUACUAGACCUGCACUGACACUGAGGGACGAAAGCUAGGGGAGCGAAUGGGAUUAGAUACCCCAGUAGUCCUAGCCGUAAACGAUGGAUACUAGGCGUUGCGAGAAUCGACCCUCGCAGUGUCGUAGCUAACGCGUUAAGUAUCCCGCCUGGGGAGUACGCACGCAAGUGUGAAACUCAAAGGAAUUGACGGGGGCCCGCACAAGCGGUGGAGUAUGUGGUUUAAUUCGAUGCAACGCGAAGAACCUUACCAGGACUUGACAUGUCGCGAAUCCUGAUGAAAGUCAGGAGUGCCUUCGGGAGCGCGAACACAGGUGGUGCAUGGCUGUCGUCAGCUCGUGUCGUGAGAUGUUGGGUUAAGUCCCGCAACGAGCGCAACCCUCGUGCUUAGUUGCCAGCAUUCAGUUGGGCACUCUAAGCAGACUGCCGGUGACAAACCGGAGGAAGGUGGGGAUGACGUCAAGUCAGCAUGCCCCUUACGUUCUGGGCUACACACGUACUACAAUGCGACGGACAAAGGGCAGCUACCCAGCGAUGGCAAGCUAAUCCCAUAAACCGUGGCUCAGUUCAGAUCGCAGGCUGCAACUCGCCUGCGUGAAGGCGGAAUCGCUAGUAAUCCCAGAUCAGCACGCUGGGGUGAAUACGUUCCCGGGCCUUGUACACACCGCCCGUCACACCAUGGAAGCUGGCAGUGCCCGAAGUCGUUACCCUAACCCUUGUGGAGGGGGACGCCGAAGGCAAGGCUGGUGACUGGGGUGAAGUCGUAACAAGGUAGCCGUACCGGAAGGUGUGGCUGGAUCACCUCCUUUUUAGGGAGACCCACUGAAUGAUGAAUGCUAAAUGCUGAUUCAUAAUUCAGCACUCGUAAUUCGUAAUUCAUCAUUUUCAGAUAUCCCAAGGUCGGUCGAGAUUAGUUGCAAGGCUUUCAAACUAUACUCGGUUUGGUUUAAGGCAAGUGUAAAAUUUUGCAAAUAAGUUUUAGUGCUGCUUGUUCAAGAGCAAUCCUGGUUGUUAUGCUAGAAAAGCACAUCAAUCAUACUAGCCUCAAAGGCGAUGCGCGUUAAAGCCUUAAAUCAAUUUGGAUAGCUCUUUCAGCACUCUUGCGUUAAUCGCGCAAGUCUGCUGGGCAAGAGUCCAGUCAGAACCUUGAAAACUGCAUAGCAACAAACAAAUACAUAGUUCAUAACUCAUAAUACCUAAAAAAUGAGUCGUGAGAUAUGCAGGUAAAACACCAAUGAAUUGUAAGUGGUCAAGCGAAUAAGAGCUGAUGGUGGAUACCUAGGCACGCGGCGGCGAAGAAGGACGUGGCGACCAACGAAAAGCUCCGGGGAGCUGGCAGCAAGCAUCGAGCCGGAGAUGUCCGAAUGGGGCAACCCCAAUGUACUGCCUGUUGAAUCCAUAGACAGGUAAGAGCCCACCUGGCGAACUGAAACAUCUUAGUAGCCAGAGGAAAAGAAAUCAAACGAGAUUCCCCAAGUAGUGGUGAGCGAACGGGGACCAGCCUAAACCAAUGGAUUUAUCCAUUGGGGUAGUGGGACAGCGAGAUGGAAUCAGAGAGUUAGACGAAGCAGGUGGCAAACUGCACCAGAGAAGGUAAUAGUCCUGUAGUCAAAAACUUAAAGAUACUAGCUGGAUCCCGAGUAGCACGGGACACGAGGAAUCCCGUGUGAAUCAGCCGAGACCACUCGGUAAGGCUAAAUACGACUGCGUGACCGAUAGUGAACCAGUACCGCGAGGGAAAGGUGAAAAGAACCCCGCAAGGGGAGUGAAAUAGAACAUGAAACCAUCAGCUUACAAGCAGUGGGAGGACGAUUCAACGUCUGACCGCGUGCCUGUUGAAGAAUGAGCCGGCGAGUUAAUUGCACUGGUAGGUGAAGGCAAUCAGAGCCAUAGCCACAGCGAAAGCGAGUCCCAAGAGGGCGCUCUUGAAUCAGUGUAAUUAGACCCGAACCCGGGUGAUCUAACCAUGUCCAGGAUGAAGCUUGGGUAACACCAAGUGGAGGUCCGCACCGACCGAUGUUGAAAAAUCGGCGGAUGAGGUGUGGUUAGGGGUGAAAUGCCAAUCGAACCCGGAGCUAGCUGGUUCUCCCCGAAAUGUGUUGAGGCGCAGCGGUUGUGAUUAUAGUCUGGGGGUAAAGCACUGUUUCGGUGCGGGCUGCGGUAAGCGGUACCAAAUCGAGACAAACUCUGAAUACCAGGCGCACACACAACUAGUGAGACGGUGGGGGAUAAGCUUCAUCGUCAAGAGGGAAACAGCCCAGACCACCAGCUAAGGUCCCAAAAUGGACGCUAAGUGGCAAAGGAGGUGGGAGUGCAAAGACAACCAGGAGGUUUGCCUAGAAGCAGCCAUCCUUGAAAGAGUGCGUAAUAGCUCACUGGUCAAGCGCUCCUGCGCCGAAAAUGAAUGGGACUAAGCGUCAUACCGAAGCUGUGGGAUAUGCAAAUAUCGGUAGGGGAGCGUUCUGUAGUAGGAAGAAGCACUAGCGGCAAGCAGGUGUGGACGAAGCAGAAGUGAGAAUGUCGGCUUGAGUAGCGCAAACAUUGGUGAGAAUCCAAUGCCCCGAAACCCCAAGGGUUCCUCCGGCAGGCUCGUCCGCGGAGGGUUAGUCAGGACCUAAGGCGAGGCCAAACGGCGUAGUCGAUGACAACGGGUCAACAAUCCCGUACUGAUUUUGGUUUGUGCAGAGGGACGGAGAAGGUAUGUGCCAGCCGGAUGUUGGUUACCGGUGCAACUAACCAAGGUGAUGAGCAGUGGUGAAAACGCUGCGAGCCGAGGUAGGAGUCCGAGCGACUACGGUCGCGAAGUGGUGGCAAUCAGGCUUCCAAGAAAAGCUCUAAACACGUUAAGCCAAAAUUACCUGUACCCGAAACCGACACAGGUGGGGAGGUUGAGAAUACCAAGGGGCGCGAGAUAACUCUCUCUAAGGAACUCGGCAACAUGGCCCCGUAACUUCGGAAGAAGGGGUGCCCACGAGAGUGGGUCGCAGUGAAGAGAUCCAGGCGACUGUUUACCAAAAACACAGGUCUCCGCUAAGUCGAGUGACGACGUAUGGGGGCUGACGCCUGCCCAGUGCCGGAAGGUUAAAGAAGUCGGUCAGGGUCUUCGGACCUAAAGCUGGCGACUGAAGCCCCGGUGAACGGCGGCCGUAACUAUAACGGUCCUAAGGUAGCGAAAUUCCUUGUCGGGUAAGUUCCGACCCGCACGAAAGGCGUAACGAUCUGGAUGGUGUCUCAGAGAGAGACUCGGCGAAAUAGGAAUGUCUGUGAAGAUACGGACUACCUGCACCAGGACAGAAAGACCCUAUGAAGCUUUACUGUAGCCUGGAAUGGAGUUCGGGCUUUGCUUGCGCAGGAUAGGUGGGAGGCGUUGAAGCUACCCUUGUGGGGGUAGUGGAGCCGACGGUGAGAUACCACUCUGGCGAAGCUAGAAUUCUAACCGCUUGCCGUUAGCCGGCAGUGGAACAGUUUCAGGUGGGCAGUUUGACUGGGGCGGUCGCCUCCUAAAGUGUAACGGAGGCGCGCAAAGGUUCCCUCAGGCUGGUUGGAAAUCAGCCGCAGAGUGUAAAAGCACAAGGGAGCUUGACUGCUAGACCUACAAGUCGAGCAGGUAGGAAACUAGGCUUUAGUGAUCCGACGGUUCCGAGUGGAAGGGCCGUCGCUCAACGGAUAAAAGUUACUCUAGGGAUAACAGGCUGAUCUCCGCCAAGAGUUCACAUCGACGCGGAGGUUUGGCACCUCGAUGUCGGCUCAUCGCAACCU
rnacentral:sRNA from 1 species